UGAAAGACAGGUUUCCAUACGAUGACCGAAGUUAAGUAACCUCGAGCCUGGUCAGUACCUAGAUGGGUGACCAAUUGGGAAGAUCUGCUGCUGUAAU